UUUUAAACAAAGAAUGUGUUUAAUAUUGAUUACCCAGUAAAUAAGGCAGAUUCAGAGACAUACAUCCGGAAGUUUGAGGAUAUAUAUGGUAUAAUCUGCACAGAAAAGAACGGAGAUGUACUUUGUUCCGAAUUUAAUUACAUUUUUUACCUUGUGUUGUAUGUGUAUAAUGGUGGAAACUCUUCCAGGAGACUGCAAUUUUAAUACUGAUCUUUGUACCUGGAGAAAUGACGAUCAUGAUACAAUGGAAUGGAGACUUAACCGUGGACCGACUACAACCGGUGGGACGGGUCCAUUUUCUGACCACACUAGUCCAGGUAA